rnacentral:misc_RNA from 1 species
CAGAGUUGCAAAACUCCCAACCCUUGCUAAACAACCACUGUUUCUAUCGGCGGGUGGCCUCCUGGCCGCGCGCACCCUCCUCGUGGGGGACGCACCCCGCCGGAGCACACUAAACUCUUGUCAUUACUGAUGCUCUGAGUGCAAAACAAAAUUAUUA